CACUGCUAAAAUGGCUAAUGCACUCAUUUAUUCACUACAGAAUGUCCAGGCGAAUGGACUACGGUAUAUAUAGCAUGACAGUGCCAUUAAGUUCUGCACAAAUAUAUACAAUUUCCAAAGGAAGCAGCGGGAACAAUAGCUGUUUUCUUUUCUAUGAUUUUGUAUUGUAGCGGAUCUGCCUGUCGAUCAUUAUAAAUUCCGGAAAACACUUUAUGCGGUUCUGCGAGAAAUUAUUGCCCCCUCCCAUAUGCAUGAAUCAGUAUUGAGCUUUUACCUAAAACAUUUGAAGUUUUCUCAACAAGCAACAAAAAUUACCCGUAUUCUAAAACGUAAAUAUGAAAACCGCAAUAAUGACAAUUGACGUUAAUUGUGUAUAUUUUGUUACAUAACGUUAAAAUCGUAUGUUGGGACAUUUAUCGGAGAAUUUAAUAUCAAAAUAGAGAGAACUUUUUUGUACUUUUACCCAUUAUAUUUUGAUGUAUGUAGCGAGUAGCACUGUAUUAGAUAAAUAUCAUGAAAAAAAACCCCAGAGAAACGUCAU
rnacentral:lncRNA from 1 species